GCGGCCGUAGUAUAGCCUGGUUAUUACCUAGCGUUGCCAACGCUAUUACCCGGGUUCGAAUCCCGGCGGCCGCA
rnacentral:tRNA from 1 species